rnacentral:rRNA from 1 species
GAUGAACGCUGGCGGCGUGCCUAAUACAUGCCAGUCGAGCGAACAGAUGAGGAGCUUGCUCCUCUGACGUUAGCGGCGGACGGGUGAGUAACACGUGGAUAACCUACCUAUAAGACUGGGAUAACUUCGGGAAACCGGAGCUAAUACCGGAUAAUAUAUUGAACCGCAUGGUUCAAUAGUGAAAGACGGCUUUGCUGUCACUUAUAGAUGGAUCCGCGCCGCAUUAGCUAGUUGGUAAGGUAACGGCUUACCAAGGCAACGAUGCGUAGCCGACCUGAGAGGGUGAUCGGCCACACUGGAACUGAGACACGGUCCAGACUCCUACGGGAGGCAGCAGUAGGGAAUCUUCCGCAAUGGGCGAAAGCCUGACGGAGCAACGCCGCGUGAGUGAUGAAGGUCUUCGGAUCGUAAAACUCUGUUAUUAGGGAAGAACAAAUGUGUAAGUAACUAUGCACGUCUUGACGGUACCUAAUCAGAAAGCCACGGCUAACUACGUG